GAUAUAGUCUUCAAUGGACAUGUAAGUGAUGAUAAUCAUUUUCGUGAAUGUUUUAUUUUUAUGGCAUUGGAAGAAAAAUUCCAUUUAUUAUUGUUGGUUUGAAUCAUCUCCAACAUACAACAAGAAAUUAGUAGUGAUUGAAUUCUUAAAGCCAAGAGAUGAUAUGCAUAUUUGAGUAAUUUGAGUCAUUUGAAAUGCUAUGCUAUGAGAAACAAAGAAUCAUUUUAUAUUGAAGAAAGUUGGAAUUUUUCCAUUUCCGUUUUGGUAUCUUGAAUCCUUGAUGCACCUAAAUAACUUUAGGUCAAUUUGCAAUAUUGAUUCCAUGCAUAUGCAUGUCAACAUAUUAGUUUGAUGGAAUGAAGAUCAUGUACUUCACCUGAACAUGUUUGCUAUCAACUGCAUUAAUAACCCUCUGUUAAUAAUCAACCCAGGUUCAUGCAUAUGAGAGGUCGAAU
rnacentral:misc_RNA from 1 species